AACGAACGCUGGCGGCAUGCUUAACACAUGCAAGUCGAACGAGACCUUCGGGUCUAGUGGCGCACGGGUGCGUGACGCGUGGGAAUCUGCCCUUUGCUACGGAAUAACUCAGAGAAAUUUGUGCUAAUACCGUAUAAUGUCGCAAGACCAAAGAUUUAUCGGCAAAGGAUGAGCCCGCGUAAGAUUAGCUUGUUGGUGGGGUAAAGGCUCACCAAGGCGACGAUCUUUAGCUGGUCUGAGAGGAUGAUCAGCCACACUGGGACUGAGACACGGCCCAGACUCCUACGCGAGGCAGCAGUGGGGAAUAUUGGACAAUGGGCGAAAGCCUGAUCCAGCAAUGCCGCGUGAGUGAUGAAGGCCUUAGGGUUGUAAAGCUCUUUUACCAGGGAUGAUAAUGACAGUACCUGGAGAAUAAGCUCCGGCUAACUCCGUGCCAGCCGCCGCCGUAA
rnacentral:rRNA from 1 species